UACGUAGGGUGCGAGCGUUAAUCGGAAUUACUGGGCGUAAAGGGUGCGCAGGCGGCUCCGCAUGUCGGGCGUGAAAUCCCCGGGCUUAACCUGGGAAUGGCGUCCGAAACUAUGGAGCUGGAGUGUGGCAGAGGGAGGUGGAAUUCCACGUGUAGCGGUGAAAUGCGUAGAGAUGUGGAGGAACACCGAUGGCGAAGGCAGCCUCCUGGGCCAACACUGACGCUCAUGCACGAAAGCGUGGGGAGCAAACAGG
rnacentral:rRNA from 1 species